rnacentral:rRNA from 1 species
UACGAAGGGGACUAGCGUUGUCCGGAUUUACUGGGCGUAAAGAGCGCGCAGGCGGUCGUCCAAGUCGCGUGUGAAAGCCCUCAGCUCAACUGAGGAAGUGCGCCCGAAACUGCAGAGCUUGAGUACCGGAGAGGAUGGCGGAAUUCCCCAAGUAGAGGUGAAAUUCGUAGAUAUGGGGAGGAACACCGGUGGCGAAGGCGGCCAUCUGGACGGAUACUGACGCUGAGACGCGAAAGCGUGGGGAGCAAACAGG